GACGAACGCUGGCGGCGUGCCUAAUACAUGCAAGUUGAGCGCUGAAGGUUGGUACUUGUACCAACUGGAUGAGCAGCGAACGGGUGAGUAACGCGUGGGGAAUCUGCCUUUGAGCGGGGGACAACAUUUGGAAACGAAUGCUAAUACCGCAUAAAAACUUUAAACACAAGUUUUAAGUUUGAAAGAUGCAAUUGCAUCACUCAAAGAUGAUCCCGCGUUGUAUUAGCUAGUUGGUGAGGUAAAGGCUCACCAAGGCGAUGAUACAUAGCCGACCUGCGAGGGUGAUCGGCCACAUUGGGACUGAGACACGGCCCAAACUCCUACGGGAGGCAGCAGUAGGGAAUCUUCGGCAAUGGACGAAAGUCUGACCGAGCAACGCCGCGUGAGUGAAGAAGGUUGUCGGAUCGUAAAACUCUGUUGGUAGAGAAGAACGUUGGUGAGAGUGGAAAGCUCAUCAAGUGACGGUAACUACCCAGAAAGGGACGGCUAACUACGUG
rnacentral:rRNA from 1 species